CACGUAGGAGGCGAGCGUUGUCCGGAAUCAUUGGGCGUAAAGAGCGCGCAGGCGGCUUGGCAAGUCGGGUGUGAAAGUCCCGGGGCUCAACCCCGGUGACUGCACUCCGAUACUGUCAGGCUAGAGGUAGGUAGGGGAGAGUCGGAAUUCCUGGUGUAGGCGGUGAAAUGCGCAGAUAUCAGGAGGAACACCGGUGGCGAAGGCGGCUUGCUGGGCCUUACCUGGACGCUGGAGGAGCCGAAAGCGUGGGGAGCGAACGGGA
rnacentral:rRNA from 1 species